rnacentral:rRNA from 1 species
GAUGAACGCUGGCGGCGUGCCUAACACAUGCAAGUCGAACGGACUAAACUGAAACCUAGUGAUGUUUAGUUAGUGGCGGACGGGUGAGUAACGCGUGGGUAACCUGCCUCACACUGGGGGAUAACAGUUAGAAAUGACUGCUAAUACCGCAUAAGCGCACAGUGUCGCAUGACAUAGUGUGAAAAACUCCGGUGGUGUGAGAUGGACCCGCGUCUGAUUAGAUAGUUGGUGGGGUAACGGCCUACCAAGUCAACGAUCAGUAGCCGGCCUGAGAGGGUGACCGGCCACAUUGGGACUGAGACACGGCCCAGACUCCUACGGGAGGCAGCAGUGGGGAAUAUUGCACAAUGGGCGAAAGCCUGAUGCAGCAACGCCGCGUGAGGGAAGACGGUCUUCGGAUUGUAAAACCUCUGUCCUUGGUGACGAAUAAAUGACGGUAGCCUUGGAGGAAGCCACGGCUAAACUACGUG